rnacentral:rRNA from 1 species
CUACGGGUGGCUCCAGGCGCGAAAACUUUACAAUGCAGGAAACUGUGAUAAGGGAACCCCGAGUGCCCGUACACGCGGGCUGUCUGGGUGUUUAAAAUGCACCCAAAGAAAGGGCCGGGCAAGACCGGUGCCAGCCGCCGCGGUAAUACCGGCGGCUCGAGUGGUGACCACUUUUAUUGGGCUUAAAGCGUUCGUAGCUGGACUGCUAAGUCCCUUGGGAAAUCCGCCGGCUUAACCGGCGGGCGUCUAAGGGAUACUGGCAGUCUUGGGACCGGGAGAGGUAAGAGGUACUCCGGGGGUAGGAGUGAAAUCCUGUAAUCCCCGGGGGACCACCGGUGGCGAAGGCGUCUUACCAGAACGGCUCCGACAGUGAGGAACGAAAGCUGGGGGAGCGAACCGGAUUAGAUACCCUUGUAGUC